rnacentral:lncRNA from 1 species
GUAGUGAUGCUUUUAUAUGAACUUUGUGUUCAAAAUAUUGUGAUUACUAAACUAGCUAAGACACUUUAAGCAGAAAGGGAAUACAAAAAUAACAAGGCAAAAGAAGACCAGGAUGUUUGACAAAGGUCUGAGUUGAGAUAUGAAUCUGCAAACACUAGCAAACCAAAAGGAAUGUAAAAUCGAGAAGCAUUCAACAAUCAUUUUUNAAUGAAUGGGAACAUUUGAUUAAAUAAAAAGGAACUGAAUUUCAAGAAUUGUACUUCUUUCAGAAAACCAUCAAAGGAGCUCAUUAAAAGAGGAAAUGCCCAGUGGCUCAUGCAGUGAACAAAUACAGCAGUGAACACUACUGGCAGCCUAAAGGAUACCUUGAAGUACAUGCGAUUAUGUUACGUCUAUCAUUUCCCCUUGCUUUUCAAAGCCUCACAAUCAAGAUGACCUCUCUGACUACAGCCUUCAAUUAAGACUACCAGGAUGUCUUUAACAGGAAAGCAGCUGCACGGAUUCCUUAUCAUCACCAGUCUUUUGAAUGAAUCCCAGAC